rnacentral:rRNA from 1 species
AUUGAACGCUGGCGGCAGGCCUAACACAUGCAAGUCGAGCGAGCGGCGGACGGGUGAGUAAUGUAUGGGGACUGCCCGAUAGAGGGGGAUAACUACUGGAAACGGUGGCUAAUACCGCAUACUAUCGGAUAACCCAUAUGGGAUUAGCUAGUAGGUGGGGUAAAGGCUCACCUAGGCGACGAUCUCUAGCUGGUCUGAGAGGAUGAUCAGGCACACUGGGACGGAGAAACGGCACAGACUCCUACGGGGGCAGCAGUGGGGAAUAUUGGAAAAUGGGGGCAAGGCUGAUGCAGCCAUGCCGCGGGUAUGAAGAAGGCCUUAGGGUUGUAAAGUACUUUCAGGGGGGAGGCGUUACCCGCAGGAGAAGCACCGGGUAACUCCGUGGCAGCAGCCGCGGUAAUUC